AUUCAUAGUUUUAAACAUCUGGCAGCUCUUCAUGUUACAUGAAUAAAAAAUGUAUGUUCUUUAUUGCUGUUAUAUUUUCAGAUUAACCUGAUUGUUUGUAAAGAAAACGAUGUGUUGUGGUGUUCCCUCAUCGUGAAUCAGGUUAAAGAGCCCCAGACCUGCAAGUAACACUCAUUCACACAUGCAUACAGAGAAAUGGGAAAUAAAAAGCUGCACAUGCGUCUCAUGGGAGCAGCUGCAGGUUAAACAGUCGCUCCUCUCAGUCAGUGAUCUCCAUGGUGUCAGCAGAUGCUCUAUACACGCGUUAACUCAUUACACAGACAGGAGAGAGACUUUCCAUACCCACAAUUAAUGCAGCGUGGACCUCUGAGAGCAAUCCCAGAAUGCACUGCACUUUUUAUUCCUUGUCAGAUCAAAUGCACACAUGCAACACACUUAUUUUUUUAUUAUUAUAAGAUUUUUAUAGUUUCUGAAGAAAAUGAGUUUUUCUUGUGAAAUAUGCGUUGGGGUGAUUGCUAGGUUGUUUGUUGAUUAACCCAAGUCCAAGAAAUCCACAUCGAAGUCUAUACAUUAAUAUAGUUCCAUUAAGUUAAAGUGUAACACUUACUGUAAUAUCUGGAGUAAUAAUCAACCACCACUUACUAGCAAAAUAAAAAACAUUAGCCUCUCGUGGAAAAUCUCAGCAAGGCCUGGAAAUAUUGUGUGCAAAUGAGCAUUUUAGAGACUCGUUGUACAGUAUUACAUGAAACGCUCUGCACUUCACAGAAUGAGAGAUCUUCUAGAAAGCUCUCCAGAUAAUUCUCCAUCCCCUCACAAGUGCUUACCGGCUCUAUUUAUGCCUGCUAAGUACCCUAGAGAGAGUGUGCGAGGGUCUCUGCGGUAUAUUGCUCUGUCAAUAUGCCCCACUUGCAGGUACACAUGACUGGGAUGAAGUCCCUGACAAACACGAGGAAGAGAUGACGACUUUGUCAUCAUUUAUUGUAGUUUUUUUCCUUCUAGGAUUCUUUUGUUCUUCACGGAGUGAGAGUUGUGUCGCAGGUAACGUCAGUUUGUCGGUGUCUGUCAGCAAGAACUCGACUGUGCUGGUUGACUGGAACAGCGGGAGCAAACAGACGACCCAAUGUGCUCUGCUCGUCUCAACCGAAGGAAGACAGGAGAUCCAGAUACACCUUUUACCAUGGUCUGGAUCGCUCCUGCUGGAAAACAUGACAGACAAUGGCAAACACUACUUCUUAUGUACUUGUUUUGAACAAUCGCAGGGACUUUUGUGCUCCAAGAACAUAAGUUUUGUUAUGGGGCCUGUCUCUGCACCACCUCUGGUCCUGAUGUCAGAUACUCAGAGCUCUGGCAGUUACAUCAGCAUGAAAUGGUUGAGCAGCGGUGUGUUUGGAAUGACUUUAGCAACAUUUGUCAUUUUUCUAAUCUACAUUAUAUACAGAAGAUGGACGGGGAACGGCGUCUUCCAACUGCGUCUGAGAUAAAGAAAGAAUCGCCUGGGAAUUUACAGGAAUAGUUAACCCAAAUAUUAAAAUUUGCUGAAAAUGUAUUUACCUUCAGGCCAUCCAAGAUGUAGAUGAGUUUGAUUGUUCAUGGGAACAGAUUUGCAUCACUCGCUCACCAAUGGAUGCUUUGCAGUGAAUGGGUGCCAUCAGAAUGAGAGUCCAAACAGCUGAAAAAAACAUCAGAAUAAUCCACAAGUAAUCCACAUCACUCCAGUCUAUCAAUCAAUGUCUUGUGAAGUGAAAAGCUGUGUGUUUAUACGAAACAAAUGCAUCGUUAAGACAUUUUAACUUCAAACUGUUGCUUCCAGCUAAACUAUAACGCUUCCUCCAGUGAAAAAGUGAAAUUGAGAUGAGUGGUCAUCUCACAUCAAAAUCCACCCACAUAUUUGUUUAGAACUAUUUUUACUGUUUUCGUUUCUCUCCUGAUUCAGAUCAGAUGAAUUUAUCACUGGAGAAGUUAAAGUCUUAAUAAUGGAUGAGAUGGAAUGCUAUAUUUCUCCAAAUCUACAUCUUGGAUGACCUGAGGGUGAGUAAAUUUUCAGCUAAUUUUUAUUUUUGGGUGAACUAUUCCUUUAGUAGUUUACAGAAGAGACAUGUUUACUAUCACUGACAUUCAUCUCUUGUAUAUUAAUUUUGUAUUAACUAAACUGCAGUGGACCCUGGACUGGGUGGGCACCAUAUGUAAUGUGAUGUGAAUGAAAACAAGGACAGAAAUAUGGUUGUGCAUGUUGAUCAUUAACAAAAAGUCUUUCAAGUUGACAAAAAUCUAUGCAAAACAUGUGAGUUGUGAAAAUAUGACUGUUACUCCAGAUAAUGAAAUACAAUACUGAAUGGACAUCUGUUUUCAUUCACAUCAGAUUAAAAACACGGGUAACAUUUUAAUUAAAUAAUGUUAGUUAAUGCAUUAAUUAACAUUAACAAUAAAUGUUGAAAUUAACCAAGAUCA
ensembl:lncRNA